CUCACGCCCUGACCAACUAAACACAUACAAAAAUAACAGAAAACAGGUCAGGAACGUGACAUGAUCACUGUUCUCAACUUGUCGUUGCACAUCUCACACUACAGAGCAUUGCAGAUUUUGUGCCGACAUGCUUGUAAAAUAUUGGGACGUCUGGGACAGCUCAAAGACAAGAUCGUUAGCCCUCAGAUUGCGUCUCUGACCCUCUCACAUUAAAUGAAUGUCGGCGAUGGCCGCUCGCUCCUUUGUAGGCAACGACAUGAGGAUUUUGUCUCCAACCUCAAACUUGUCUGGGACAGCUAAAUCGGGGCCAAAAUCGUGUAGUGUACACCCGGUUUAAGGAUGGGAGAGACAUCACAUUCAUCACAGCUCCUUGCUGAAGGUGACGUUGAUCAUGUACUGCUUCUCGUGGGGUGAGCCUGAUGUUCGGCAUGUCACGCCUCAUGUCUGAAACAUCAAAAUGCAUAUGCAUCUACAAAUCAUUGUUUUACACAAUAUUGUAUCAUAUUUUGAGUUGCUGACCUGUUCAUCCACAGGCUUGUGCUGUAGUCUCCACAACUGGAUCAGACUGACACAGGAUUUCCAGUCAGCGGAUGGUCUGAGGGAUGCACUCAUGUUGGACUGGAAAACAAAGAGACAUUUGGCCAGUGGCUCGAUCUGCUGUAGUCUCUACAAAUGGACACUUGAGCUCGGAUCACACUGGCACAUGAUGUCCAUGCACUGGAUGGCCUGAGCGAUUCACUCCUGUUGGACUGGAAAACAAAAGAGACAUUUGUCUGGAUCUUCCUCUCUGCCAUGGUGGAUGAGCUACCUUUCCUGGUAAAUUUUCCCACGGGAAAAUGACAGCUGCAGACCCGAGUGUUGUCACUGGGUUUUCUGUCCGCCCAUCUCAAAGACUGUACUUCUGAUUAGAAUUCUCAAGAGGAAAGUUAAAACCUUGCUAACAUUAGGCACUUCAAGAAGCUAAGUAAACAAUGAUCAUUACACAGGUGCACCUUUUGCAGUUUUGUCACACAACAUAAUGCCACAGAUGCCUUAAGUUUUGAGGGGACAGGCAAUUGGCAUGCUGGCUGCAGGUAUGUCCACCAGAGCCUAGAAUGUAAUGUUAAUUUCUGUACCGUUAGCAUAAUUUUACCUCCUUACCUCCUCUAUACCUCCAACAUUGUUUUGGAGGUAUAGACACAGUACGUCCAACAAGCCUCACAACCGCAGACCACGUGUAACCACGCCAGCCCAGGGCCUCCACAUAUG